CGGGGCCUCCGCCAACUAUGGCGGGCGAGCUUGAGGGCGCUAAGCCGCUGAGCGGGUUGCUGAGCGGCCUGGCUCAGGACGCUUUCCAUGGGCACCCGGGCAUCACGGAGGAGCUGCUGCGGAGUCAGCUCUAUCCGGAGGUGCCACCUGAGGAGUUCCGCCCCUUUAUGGCGAAGAUGAAGGGGAUUCUUAAGUCUAUUGCAUCUGCAGACAUGGAUUUCAACCAGCUGGAAGCAUUCUUGACUGCUCAAACCAAAAAGCAAGGCGGGAUCACAUCUGACCAAGCUGCUGUCAUUUCCAAAUUCUGGAAGAGCCAUAAGACAAAAAUCCGAGAGAGCCUCAUGAACCAGAGCCGCUGGGACAGUGGGCUUCGGGGCUUGAGCUGGAGAGUUGAUGGCAAAUCGCAGUCAAGACACUCAGCUCAAAUGCACACUCCUGUUGCCAUAAUGGAGCUGGAAAUAGGGAAAAGUGGACAGCCAUCAAUACUUUCAAGCCCCUUCAGUUCUGAAGUGUCCUGUGUUGUCUGUCUAUACCAUGAAGUGGGAGAGGUUGGGAAGCAUUGCUUUAUUGGAUUACAAGCAGAGUCUAAGAUUCUGGACUUCAGCAAGAGGUCUUCUACAUGGAAUCUGAAUUUCUGUGUUUGGAGUUUGAUGAGGUCAAGGUCACCGAAGUCCUGAAGAAGCUCUCGGAGGUAGAAGAAAGUAUCAGCACACUGAUGCAGCCAGCCUAGCUGAAGAUGGAGCUGUUGAAGCAAAGAACCAUGGCUAAAAUUUGGCACUGAUCUCAGAAUGACCGAUUUGGAGGCUUUUGUAGAAGCUAUUUUAUCAUCUUGUCAAAAUGGGGAAACAUCUGGAGAGACAGGGCAGAGGACUUGUACAAGGCCAUCGUCAGGAAGAGACCUUAAGGGAGCUGUUGAAUAAAAAGCCAAGGGAAUUUGAUUCUGAAGUUCCCUGAAGAGCUGGAGAAAUCUCCUCAGGGGGGACCUGACCCUGGGAGAAUCAACUUGCAGGCCCUGUGGGAAAGCAGCUGGAGAAUCACUGCUGGAGAGGUGAGACCCAGCUAGUCCCUAUUGACCUGCAUGAGCCCCCGGAGAGAAGUGGUUGCUGCAUAACAGCAGGGCCAUUCUUUGUAGAUGGAACACUACACCUAGUUUUGUACCUGGAAGCUUAGCCAAUUAAUAAGCCACUUAACUGUGGUUUGUUAAGAAGCUGGUUUGGGGAGACGUCGAGGGUUUAAACUCUUAUCCUUUCCUUCCAUUUUAUCUUAUCCUUGUCCUGGAAAAGGACUGAAGAUUGCUGGUGACUUGUUCCAUUUCUCACCCUUAUUUUGCCAGGUGCUAAAUCACCCAGAACUAAGCACAUGCUUCCAGCUAAGUUUUUUGAGAGAUUAAAAAUGUUUCAACUGUCAAAAGUAUCACCAUAGUCUUAGGAAAAAUCAGGACUUUUGUAGGAUUUCUGUGCUUUCAUAGUUUUUUUGUUUUUUUCAGUUUUUUUAAAUUAUAAGUACAAAGAAGGGAGGAGACUCAUAAUCUUUUUUCAGGGACUGUUAAGGGUCUUAAUCAGGCCUGAUAUCCCACAAAGUUUCCAGGGUGCCCUGUGGGAGGAGUAUAGGGCUGCCCAAGAGGCCGAGGCCACUGGAAGAGGGAUUGAUUAUAUUUCAGGGUUAAGAGGGUACCUCCCAUUCCGGGAGCUCAGAACAUGGACCUUGGCCUUUUGGGUGGAAGUGUAUGGACAUUUCUGUCUUCAAGGAGCUGUUUUGGUUUGGUUUUAACUUUAUGCAAAUAAUACAUGGAUACAUUGUCCUUGAGAAGCAUUUAAACCUUAUAAUUAAGGCUAAAGUCCUCUGUGACCAGUACCGUCCAUCCUGGUUUCUUCCUCCUCUUCCUCAGCAGUAAUCUCUGUGAUCACUUUGAGUGUAUCUCCUUCCAUGGUUUUUUUAUGAUUUUUACCUACCUGCAUAUAUGGCCAUAUUUACAGUACUGUUUUAUGUAUUCCUGUAACACAAGUGCAAUCACACUGUAUGUAUUAUCCUGCAAAUUGCUUUUUUCCCUCAACAGCAUGUUUUGGAACUUUUCUAAAUUAGUACUACAGAGACCAACAACCCACCAAACUGAUAUAGAGAAUAUUUCAAAAUGGAAGCAUCUGAACUACAGAAGAUGCUGAAAGAAAUCUCAUUAGAACUUCCCUUAUCUGAUCAGAACAGAGCUCUACUAGAGCCAGCUGCCAGCACUCUCCCCCCAUCACCCUUACGGCUCAAAUUAGGGAGGCUGACCUUGGGCACCGAGACAUCCCCCCAAAAUUGUGUAAACACAUCUCACCAGAGCCUUCCAUCCUUUGAAGCCCAAAGCCCCUCCCCUCCUAUUAACCUGGUAUAUAAACCUUUACUCGUAGCUAUUCUGGGAGCUACUCUAGAGUAGUACAGGGAGUACUAUGGGGUGGUCCUGCAUUCAUAAUAUUAAUACAUUUUUCUCCUGUUAAUUUGUGUGUUGUCAGUUCAUGUGCAUCGCACUCCCCUCAGUCAGACCUAAGUUGGUAGAGAAGUUUUUCCUCCCAAAAGUUUAUAUAAAUUUACCUCACUAAUUUCAACUGCUGCAUAGUAUUACAGAGAGACAAUAGGUUUGGAUUUUGUUUUUCUUUAAUUCCCUAUCAAUGGAUUUUUAGGUUGUUUCCAGUUUUUCCCCAUGGCAAACAAUACUGCAGUGAAUAUACUUGCACGUGCCUCCCUAUAUACAUGUGCAAAUAUAUCUUAGAAAACAGGAAUUGCUAUAUCAUGGGUUAUACGCUUUUUAGAUUCUAGACACUGGCAAAUAGACUGGAGUACGAUAAAUGUUUAACAGCCAGUCUCCCAUAAAAGGAGGUAGGGGCUAAUUUGUAGCAUUUGUCCUGUUUCCAUUGUGUGAGUUCUCCCACCAUGGCCAAUUUCAAACUACUAAUAUUCAUUACGGAACUUGGAUUUGGGACGAGUUAUACACCGUUAACUCUUGCAAGCUGGUACAAACUGGCUCCAGCACAGUUCGAGAAUUCCUCAAACUUAGGAUGCAGAUAGAUAUCGGCAGAUAGCCCUCCGAAGUAGCCCAACCAACUUGUACUUUCGCAAGCAGUGUAUGAACCUGUCUUGAUAAUAUUACAGUUUUUUGCAAAUAUGAGUCAAAAAACGAUACCUCAUUUUGCCUUGCAUAUUCCCAGUCAUCAAUGAGGUUGAGCAUCUUUUCACAUUUUAUCAGUAUUUCCUGCUCUGUGAAAUGGUCCAUAUCCUUUGCCUGUUUGUUUUUUCUUGUUGUUGUUUUACUUAUUCAUCUUUUUCUUACUGAUUUGUUGGAGCCCUUGAUGUAGUCUGAAAAUAUAUUGUCCUUCAAGUAGUUUUCAAUCUAUUUUAGAGAAUAAAAUUGGAGGAAUAUUCCCAAAUUCUAUUGAGUACCUAUUAUAUGAACAUACCCAUCAAGGACUGGGACUGAGAAAAGUACACAUGGUGUACAUCAAAUUCUGUGUGUACUUGUGUACCAUUGUGGUAGGGUCAGUUGAACACACAUGUGCAUACCACUAGUACUAAUAACAAGUAAUUACUGUGAAAAAUACAUAAAUUGUAUUUUGGCUCAUUCAGGCUAUUUGUUGUAUUUUUCAUAAGCAUAUUAUCGAUCAUUUCUCUUGGGGUCACUUAGGUCACUGGACUUUUUUCCUGAAGGAAUAUAUAUACCAGCACUUCUUAUUCACACUGAAGUCUCUUGUGAGUCUUCCUGUGAGGUCUCAUCCUCAUCUUUUCACUGUUGGCCCUGAUCUGAAAAGGUGGAGUGCUUUUCUCUCCAGGCUAUUCUUCCCUGAAAAUGACUGGCUGCCCCAGCAGCUUGCUGUCUUCUGGGAUGAAUUAAGAACUACAGUUUUGCCCAGGAGGAACCAAGAUGGCGGAGUAGAAGGACGUGCUCUCACUCCCUCUUGUAAGAACACCAGAAUCACAACUAGCUGCUGGACAAUCAUCGACAGGAGGACACUGGAACUCACCAAAAAAGAUACCCCACAUCCAAAGACAAAAGAGAAGCCACAAUGAGUUGGUAGGAGGGGAGCAAUCACAGUAAAAUCAUAUCCCAUCACUGCUGGGUGGGUGACUCACAGACUGGAGAACACUUAUACCAGAGAAGUCCACCCACUGGAGUGAAGGUUCUGAGCCCCACAUCAGGCUUCCCAACCUGGGAGUCCGGCAACUGGAGGAGAAAUUCCUAGAGAAUCAGACUUUGAAGGCUAGUGGGAUUUGAUUGCAGGACUUCGACAGGACUGGGGGAAACAGAGACUCCACUCUUGGAGGGCACACACAAAGUGUGCGCAUUGGGACCCAGGGGAAGGAGCAGUGACCCCAGGGGAGACUGAAGCAGACCUAUCUGCUAGUUUGGAAGGUCUCCUGCAGAGGCAAGGGGUGUCUGUGGCUCACCAUGGGGACAAGGAAACUGGCAGCAGAAGUUCUGGGACGUACUCCUUGGCAUGACCCCUCCCAGAGUCUGUCAUUAGCCCCACCAAAGAGCCCAGGUAGGCUCCAGUGUUGGGGUGCCUCAGACCAAACAACCAACAGGGAGGGAACCCAGCCCCACCCAUCAGUGGUCAAGGAGAUUAAAGUUUUACUGAGCUCUGCCCAGCAGAGCAACAGUCAGCUGUACCCACCACCAGUCCCUCCCAUCAGGAAACUUACACAAGCCUCUUAGAUAGCCUCAUCCACCAGAGGGCAGACAGCAGAAGCAAGAAGAACUACAAUCCUGCAGCCUAUGGAUCAAAAACCACAUUCACAGAAAGAUAGACAAGAUGAAAAGGCAGAGGGCUAUGUACCAGAUGAAGGAACAAAAAACCCCAGAAAAACAACUAAAUGAAGUGGAGAUAGGCAACCUUCCAGAAAAAGAAUUCAAAAUAAUGAUAGUGAAGAUGAUCCAGGACCUCAGAAAAAAAAUGGAGGCAAAGAUCGAGAAGGUGCAAGAAAUGUUUAACAAUGACCUAGAAGAAUUAAAGAACAAACAGAGAUGAACAAUACAAUAACUGAAAUGAAAACUACACUAGAAGGAAUCAAUAGCAGAAUAACUGAGGUAGAAGAACGGAUAAGUGACCUGGAAGACAGAAUGGUGUGGAAUUCACUGCUGCAGAACACAAUAAAGAAAAAUGAAUGAAAAGAAAUGAAGACAGCCUAAGAAACCUCUGAGACAACAUUAAACGCAACAACAUUCACAUUGUAGGGGUCCCAGAAGGAGAAGAGAGAGAGAAGGGACCCGAGAAAAUAUCUGAAGAGAUUAUAGUUGAAAACUUCCCUAACAUGGGAAAGGAAAUAGCCACCCAAGUCCAGGAAGCACAGCGAGUCCCAUACAGGAUAAACCCAAGGAGAAACAGGCCGAGACACAUAGUAAUCAAAUUGGAAAAAAUUAAAGACAAAGAAAAAUUAUUGAAGGCAGCAAGGGAAAAAUGACAAAUAACAUACAAGGGAACUCCCAUAAGGUUAACAGCUGAUUUCUCAGCAGAAACUCUACAAGCCAGAAGGGAGUGGCAUGAUAUACUUAAAGUGCGGAAAGGGAAGAACCUACAACUAAGAUUCCUCUACCCAACAAGGAUCUCAUUCAGAUUAGAUGGAGAAAUCAAAAGCUUUACGACAAUCAAAAGUUAAGAGAAUUCAGCACCACCAAACCACCUCUACGAUAAAUGCUAUAGGAACUUCUGUAAGUGGGAAACACAAGAGAAGAAAAGGACCUACAAAAACAAACCCAAAACAAUUAAGAAAAUGGUCACAUUAACAUACAUACCAAUAAUUACCUUAAAUGUGAAUGGAUUAAAUGCUCCAACCAAAAGACACAGGCUUGUGGAGUGGAUACAAAAACAAGACCCAUAUAUAUGCUGUCUGCAAGAGACCCACUUCAGACCUAGGGACACAUUCAGGCUGAAAGUGAGGGUAUGGAAAAAGAUAUUCCAUGCAAAUGGAAAUCAAAAGAAAGCUGGAGUAGCAAUACUCGUAUGAGAUAAAAUAGACUUUAAAAUAAAGAAUGUUACAAGAGACAAGGAAGGACACUACAUAAUGAUAAAGGGAUCAGUCCAAGAAGAUAUAACAAUUAUAAAUAUAUAUGCACCCAACGUAGGAGCACCUCAAUACAUAAGGCAACUGCUAACAGCUCUAAAAGAGGAAAUCGACAGUAACACAAUAAUAGUGGGGGACUUUAACACCUCACUUACACCAAUGGACAGAUCAUCCAAAAUGAAAAUAAAUAAGGAAACACAAGCUUUAAAUAACACAAUAGACCAGAUAGAUUUAAUUGAUAUUUAUAGGACAUUCCAUCCCAAAACAGCAGAUUACACUUUCUUCUCAAGUGCACACAGAAGAUUCUCCAGGAUAGAUCACAUCUUGGGUCACAAAUCAAACGUCAGUAAAUUUAAGAAAAUUGAAAUCAUAUCAAGCAUCUUUUCUGACCACAAUGCUAUGAGAUUAGAAAUCAAUUACAGGGAAAAAAACGUAAAAAACACAAACACAUGGAGGCUAAACAAUCCAUUACUAAAUAACCAAGAGAUCACUGAAGAAAUCAAAGAGGAAAUCAAAAAAUACCUAGAGACAAAUGACAAUGAAAACACGAUGAUCCAAAACCUGUGGGAUGCAGCAAAAGCAGUUCUAAGAGGGAAGUUUAUAGCUAUACAAGCCUACCUCAAGAAACAAGAAAAAUCUCAAAUAAACAAUCUAAUCUUACACCUAAAGGAACUAGAGAAAGAAGAACAAACAAAACCCAAAGUUAGCAGAAGGAAAGAAAUCAUAAAGAUCAGAGCAGAAAUAAAUGAAAUAGAAACAAAGAAAACAAUAGCAAAGAUCAAUAAAACUAAAAGCUGGUUAUUUGAGAAGAUAAACAAAAUUGAUAAACCAUUAGCCAGACUCAUCAAGAAAAAGAGGGAGAGGACUCAAAUCAAUAAAAUUAGAAAUGAAAAAGGAGAAGUUACAACAGACACCACAGAAAUACAAAGCAUCCAAAGAGACUACUACAAGUAACUCUAUGCCAAUAAAAUGGACAACCUGGAAGAAAUGGACAAAUUCUUAGGUAUAACCUUCCAGGACUGAACCAGGAAGAAAUAGAAAAUAUGAACAGACCAAUCACAAGUAAUGAAGUUGAAACCGUGAUUAAAAAUCUUACGGCAAACAAAAGUCCAGGACCAGAUGGCUUCACAGGUGAAUUCUAUCAAACAUUUAGAGAAAAGCUAACACCUAUCCUUCUCAAACUCUUCCAAAAAAUUGCAGAGGAAGGAACACUCCCAAACUCAUUCUAUGAGGCCACCAUCACCCUGAUACCAAAAACAGACAAAGAUACUACAAAAAAAGAAAAUUACAGACCAAUAUCACUGAUGAAUAUAGAUGCAAAAAUCCUCAACAAAAUACUAGCAAACAGAAUCCAACAACACAGUAAAAGGAUCAUACACCAUGAUCAAGUGUGAUUUAUCCCAGGGAUGCAAGGAUUCUUCUAUAUAUGCAAAUCAAUCAAAGAGAUACACCAUAUUAACAUUGAAGAAUAAAAACCAUAUGAUCAUCUCAAUAGAUGCAGAAAAAGCUUUUGACAAAAUUCAACACCCUUUUAUGAUAAACGUUCUCCAGAAAGUGGGCAUAGAGGGAACCUACCUCAACAUAAUAAAGGCCAUAUAUGACAAACCCACAGUAAACAUCAUUCUCAAUGGUGAAAAACUGAAAGCAUUUCCUCUAAGAUCAGGAACAAGACAAGGAUGUCCACUCUCACCACUAUUAUUCAACAUAGUUUUGGAAGUCGUAGCCACGGCAAUCAGAGAAGAAAGAGAAAGAAAAGGAAUACAAAUUGGAAGAGAAGAAGUAAAACUGUCAGUGUUUGCAGAUGACAUGAUACUAUACAUAGAGAAUCCUAAAGAUGCCACCAGAAAACUACUAGAGCUAAUCAGUGAAUUUGGUAAAGUUGCAGGAUACAAAAUUAAUGCAUGGAUAUCUCUUGCAUUCCUAUACACUAAUGAUGAAAAAUCUGAAAGAGAAAUUAAGGAAACACUCCCAUUUACCACUGCAACAAAAAGAAUAAAAUACCUAGGAAUAAACAUACCUAGGGAGACAAAAGACAUGUAUGCAGAAAACUAUAAGACACUGAUGAAAGAAAUUAAAGAUGAUGC